GGAUUCAAGCUGGUGACUGACUGCCUUGAGCUCCGGGCAUGGUUCUACCUUGCACUUGAGGAGUAUGAGGCUGCAGUGCGGGAUAUCA
rnacentral:pre_miRNA from 1 species